UAGAAAGUGGUGUAGUGGAAGCACCAAGAGUUUUGAUCUCUUGAGGAUGGGUUCGACUCCCUUCUCUCUAG
rnacentral:tRNA from 1 species